GACGAACGCUGGCGGCGUGCUUAACACAUGCAAGUCGAACGGAAAGGCCCUGCUUGUAGGGUACUCGAAUGGCGAACGGGUGCGUAACACUAGGGUGUACUGCCCUGCACUUCGGGAUAAGCCCGGGAAACGGGGACGAAUACUGGAUAGGAGCCAUUUUUAGUGUGAUGGUUGGAAAGAUUUUUCGGUGUAGGACGAGCUCGCGGCCUAUCCGCUUGUUGGUGGGGGAAUGGCCUACCAAGGCGGCGACGGGUAGCCGGCCUGAGGGGGUGGACGGGCACAAUGGGACUGAGGGACGGCCCAGACGCCGACGGUAGGCAACAGUGGGAAAUCUUGCGCAACAAGGGCGAGCCUGAUGCGGCGGCGCUGCGUUUGUGAUGACGGGCUUCGGGUUGUGAAAUGCCUUCGCUAGGAACGAGGCAUUUUGUGACGGUACCUAAAUAGGAAGCCCCGGCUAACUACGUG
rnacentral:rRNA from 1 species